GGUCUCCAACUCCUGGUGAUCCUCCUGCCUUAGUCCACCAAGUGCUAGAAUUAUAGGCAUGAGCCAUUGUGCCUGGUUAAGUACACCAUGGUAUAAAGCAGUUGUUCUCAACUUUCCUGAUGCUUUGGACUUUAAAAACAAUUCCUCAUGUUGUAGUGAUGCCCAACCACAACCCCCCACCCCAGACAGUGUUUAUCUGUGUGGCCCUGGAUGUCCUGGAAUUGCAUUCUGUAGACCAGCUUCAAACUCAAAGAUCUGGUGCCUGCCUCUGCCUCCCAAGUGAUGGGAUUAAAGGAUUUAUACAGAAGCAGUCUUCCAAAUUCUGAAACCUGAUGCCCAUCAUAUACUUUGGGCUGAGAAAAGAAAAUCAAACAUUUGUUUGAUGCAGCCUCCCUCAGCCUUCAAGCAGGCUGAUCCAGACUUUGACCUUGCUGCCUCUAAGAAGGAGAUUACCUAGGGGACAGCCUUCUGACCUUGAUGGCUCUAUUUGCUCUUCUCCAAGACUCUGCUUCCCGCUCAAAGGUCCUUGAGACAGUACAAAGACACACCCUGUAGAUCGCCUAAGGGCUGGCUCCAGGUACCAAGAACCGGCUGGCAGGGGAUGGGCCUUCCGCCUUAUAAACACACUCUCUUAAUAAACUCGGGGGGGGGGGGGGCUUGAACAGAAA
rnacentral:lncRNA from 1 species